AAGUAGUUUGACUCCGUGGCUCAGUAUUAGAACGCUGGCGGCAUGCUUUACACAUGCAAGUCGAACGGCAGCGCGGGGCAACCUGGCGGCGAGUGGCGAACGGGUGAGUAAUAUAUCGGAACGUACCCGAAGGGUGGGGAUAACGUAGCGAAAGUUACGCUAAUACCGCAUACGAUCUAAGGAUGAAAGCAGGGGAUCUUCGGACCUUGUGCUCCUGGAGCGGCCGAUAUCUGAUUAGCUAGUUGGUGAGGUAAAGGCUCACCAAGGCCACGAUCAGUAGCUGGUCUGAGAGGACGACCAGCCACACUGGAACUGAGACACGGUCCAGACUCCUACGGGAGGCAGCAGUGGGGAAUUUUGGACAAUGGGCGAAAGCCUGAUCCAGCAAUGCCGCGUGAGUGAAGAAGGCCUUCGGGUUGUAAAGCUCUUUUGUCGGGGAAGAAACGGUGGAGGCUAAUAUCCUUCGCUAAUGACGGUACCUGAAGAAUAAGCACCGGCUAACUACGUG
rnacentral:rRNA from 1 species